rnacentral:lncRNA from 1 species
GUUUCAUUUCAUAACAUCUCCGCCUGGCUUUUCUUGAUGCGUUUUUUCAAUUUUUCCCUUCAGAGAGAAGAUCACUAUUAAUUUAGGUGAGCUGAGAAACAGCUCAGAUGGAUGGGUUUGGUUCCUCUCCAGUGACAUCCAUGCAGGUUAUUACAUAAGCAGUUUACUGCAGUGAAGUCAUUACACUGCGUCCAGCCCCAGAGCAGCCUCUGCUUGUUUGACUCCUCAGCUCCUGUUUAACCACUUCCCUCCAAACAGUGACCACAGGAGCUGCCCAAGCCCCAGCAGAGCAGCACCCGUGACCAGUUGACCUCCUGCUACAUAAUGAGGCAGAAAAUGCCCUGCAAUAUUGGAAGUGUAUAAGAAAUAGUUGGCUUCAUACCCAAACCAGAAAACUGAGGCUCAGUGUGUCUCUGCAGCUAAACAAAGGACCAUGGCCCCGAGGAACAAUGGUGGGAAAAAGAGGGGAAUUCUACAGGACAG